UACGUAGGGGCAAGCGUUGUCCGGAAUCAUUGGGCGUAAAGAGCGUGUAGGCGGCCCGGUAAGUCCGCUGUGAAAGUCCAGGCUCAACCCUGGGAUGCCGGUGGAUACUGUCGGGCUCGAGUCCGGAAGAGGAGUGUGGAAUUCCUGGUGUAGCGGUGAAAUGCGCAGAUAUCAGGAAGAACACCCGUGGCUAAAGGCGGCUCUCUAGUACGGUACCUGACGCUGAGACGCGAAAGCGUGGGGAGCGAACAGGG
rnacentral:rRNA from 1 species